UACGUAGGGUGCAAGCGUUAAUCGGAAUUACUGGGCGUAAAGCGUGCGCAGGCGGUUGUGCAAGCCAGAUGUGAAAUCCCCGGGCUUAACCUGGGAACUGCAUUUGUGACUGCACGGCUAGAGUGUGUCAGAGGGGGGUAGAAUUCCACGUGUAGCAGUGAAAUGCGUAGAUAUGUGGAGGAAUACCGAUGGCGAAGGCAGCCCCCUGGGAUAACACUGACGCUCAUGCACGAAAGCGUGGGGAGCAAACAGG
rnacentral:rRNA from 1 species